rnacentral:rRNA from 1 species
UACGUAGGGUGCGAGCGUUAAUCGGAAUUACUGGGCGUAAAGCGUGCGCAGGCGGUGAUGUAAGACAGGUGUGAAAUCCCCGGGCUUAACCUGGGAACUGCAUUUGUGACUGCAUCGCUGGAGUGCGGCAGAGGGGGAUGGAAUUCCGCGUGUAGCAGUGAAAUGCGUAGAUAUCUGGAGGAAUACCGGUGGCGAAGGCGGCAUCCUGGACCGGCAUUGACGCUGAGGAGCGAAAGCCAGGGGAGCAAACGGG